rnacentral:rRNA from 1 species
UACGUAGGGGGCAAGCGUUGUCCGGAAUUAUUGGGCGUAAAGAGCGCGUAGGCGGUCCGAUAAGUCGGCUGUGAAAGUCAGGGGCUCAACCCUUGAAAGCCGGCCGAUACUGUCGGACUAGAGUCCGGAAGAGGCGAGUGGAUUCCCGGUGUAGCGGUGAAAUGCGCAGAUAUCGGGAGGAACACCAAUGGCGAAGGCGGGUCUCUGGACAGUUCCUGACACUGAGACACGAAGGCCAGGGGAGCAAACGGG